rfam:Helianthus annuus linkage group 17, whole genome shotgun sequence.
GUGUCACUAAGGGAUCCUCCGAACACUUCACUAGGAUGGUUAAAUAAUUAGGAUUUCCUACUGAAGUGUUUGGGGGAACUCCAAGUGCCAC